rnacentral:lncRNA from 1 species
UAUGAUAUGAACAAAUUGGUCACCCAACUCUCUCCAGAGCCUGCAGAUUUUGUACACAAUGAAAAGAUCCAAUGCCAUGAGCUGGUCCAUGCCCAACCCCAUGAAGUUAGGUAAUAGGAGACCAUGAUCAUGAUGAUCAGAAGCUGAAGUUAUGGGGAAAGUCUGCAGCCAGCCAGGCAGUGAAAUCCACUCAGAUUCUCAAAUAUUUUUCUGCAUGUGAAGAUAAUUAAUCCAUUGGUGUUUUUGUGGUGUUAUUGUACAUGUAAGUCACUUUUUGUACCAUUAAGGAUGAUUAAGAUUGUAAUUAAUUACUGUACAACUUCUGGAAAUUUCCUUAUGGCAACACCAUUUUGUUUCCUUCUUGACAUUUCAUAUCAUUUCAAGGUUUUAAAAGGCAAGAGUUAAUAUGAUAUUGAAACCAGAUCCAGAAGAUCAUGCUCUUGCUGAAAACGUUUCAGAGUUACCAAGGGACUAAAUUUUAACAUUUUAGGGACCAAUAUAAAAAAAAAAUUAGGGGUUCUUCGAUCUAAGUCCAAAAUUCCUAGCUGUCAUUGGGUUUAGUCCACACCUUUUUUACUGUAGAUUUGGGUCCAUUGACUUUUAUUAAUUUUUUUCAUGUGUCAGUUUUACCCUUUGAGGUAAAUAAGGAAAGAAAAAUAAUUGAAAAUCCAAAUUUAAGUAUCGAUUCUUUCCUUCUAAAUAGAUUUCAGAUUUUAAAUUUGGAAUCCUUCUAUUGACGCCAUGACAUAAAAGAAGUUCAUAUAAAACAAUGAAAGUAGAAGAAUUAUUGAUGAUAUCUUCCCAACAAAUAUUUACCUGUGACUACUAGGUGAAUAUGAUAUGAUAUACCUAAUUAUUAGGUAAAUAUAAGAUAAUGUUCCUACUAGGUAAAUAUAACAUAAUGUACCUAAAUACUAGAUAAAUAUAAAAUAAUGUACCUAAUUACCAGGUAAAUAUAAUAUAAUGUACCUAACACAUAAUACCUGAUAAACA